UACGAAGGGGGCUAGCGUUGUUCGGAUUUACUGGGCGUAAAGCGCACGUAGGCGGAUCGUUAAGUCGGGGGUGAAAUCCUGGAGCUCAACUCCAGAACUGCCUUCGAUACUGGCGAUCUCGAGUCCGGAAGAGGUGAGUGGAACUCCUAGUGUAGAGGUGAAAUGCGCAGAUAUCAGGAGGAACACCGAUGGCGAAGGCAGGUCUCUGGGCCGAUACUGACGCUGAGGAGCGAAAGCGUGGGGAGCGAACAGG
rnacentral:rRNA from 1 species